rnacentral:tRNA from 1 species
CACUGUGAAGCUAUAUAGCAUUAACCUUUUAAGUUAAAGAUAGGGAAAUUACUUCUCCAUAGUGA